UCAGUUCAGAGAGAGGAGAGAGAGGAGAGGGAGAAGGAGAGGGGGCAGAGAAGGGAAAGAGGGAGAGCAUGCGAGACGGGAAGGAGCGCCUGGAGUCUCUGAAGCACGAAAGAGAUAACCGAUUAGGAAUUUGUCGGGCAACAGUCACCCGGGAAAGCAGCCAGAGAAUUACCAUCACCCCAACUCUGACGUUUCCUACCAGAAGUUAGAGACUUAAGCAGUAUUGACAUCAGAUGGAAAUGGUAUGCUCGAUACUGUGGGAAAUACUCCUGAGCUGAAGAAGUGCAACUGGAUGGUGUGUGUGUUAAAUACCAGAAGAGCCCAGACCCAGUGGGUAAUAGAGACGAAAUGUGGAGAGAAUGACUAACGACAAAUCUGUGAAUUUGUUCUCGGGAGUUGCUAAUUUGCCAGCCUGAAGCCACACAUUUUACAAGGAGAAAACGUUUUGCUGCUUCUGAUUUCUCCCCAAACUGGUGCUACCAGAUGCAUGGCUUUCUAUGUGUUGGAACAAAUCAUUCCUAACUGCAGCAUAUCAGGAAAGGGGAAAGGUUGAGGCAACUAACUGGCUGUCUCCAAAUAAGCGAUGAGAUGUAAUGCAUCCUCCAGUCCAUGCACACUUCCUCUUGCAAUUCGUGCAUCCCUCAGUGGAAACCUUUAAACCCUAAAAUCCAGGAAAAGAAAAUAAAUACAUUAUCAUGGACCUGAGGGAUUUUUACCUGUUGGCUGCUCUGAUUGCCUGUUUAAGGCUGGAUUCCGCAAUAGCUCAAGAACUUAUUUACACUAUUAGAGAGGAAUUGCCUGAAAAUGUGCCCAUAGGAAACAUACCAAAGGAUCUGAACAUUUCUCACAUCAAUGCUGCCACAGGGACGAGUGCCAGCCUUGUCUACAGACUGGUUUCUAAAGCUGGGGAUGCCCCUUUGGUGAAAGUAUCCAGCAGCACUGGGGAAAUUUUCACAACCUCCAAUAGAAUAGACAGAGAAAAACUCUGUGCUGGAGCUUCUUAUGCUGAGGAAAAUGAGUGCUUCUUUGAACUUGAGGUGGUGAUCCUCCCCAAUGACUUUUUCAGGCUGAUCAAAAUAAAGAUAAUUGUCAAGGAUACCAAUGAUAAUGCCCCCAUGUUUCCAUCUCCUGUCAUCAAUAUUUCCAUUCCAGAAAACACUUUGAUCAACAGCCGCUUUCCAAUUCCAUCAGCAACAGAUCCUGACACAGGCUUCAAUGGUGUACAGCAUUAUGAAUUGCUAAAUGGGCAGAGUGUUUUUGGACUGGAUAUCGUGGAAACUCCGGAGGGAGAGAAGUGGCCACAAUUGAUUGUUCAGCAAAACUUGGAUAGAGAACAGAAAGAUACCUAUGUGAUGAAAAUCAAAGUGGAGGAUGGAGGCACUCCACAGAAAUCCAGCACAGCCAUACUGCAGGUCACAGUAAGUGAUGUAAAUGACAACAGGCCAGUGUUUAAAGAGGGUCAAGUGGAGGUGCAUAUUCCAGAGAAUGCUCCUGUAGGUACCUCUGUAAUUCAGCUCCAUGCCACUGAUGCAGAUAUAGGCAGCAAUGCUGAAAUCCGGUACAUUUUUGGUGCCCAGGUCGCCCCUGCAACCAAAAGACUCUUUGCUUUAAAUAAUACUACCGGGCUGAUUACAGUUCAGAGGUCUUUAGAUAGAGAAGAAACAGCCAUUCACAAAGUGACAGUGCUGGCUAGUGAUGGCAGCUCCACUCCUGCUCGAGCAACGGUUACCAUCAAUGUCACUGAUGUAAAUGAUAACCCUCCAAACAUAGACCUCAGGUACAUUAUAAGUCCCAUCAAUGGCACUGUGUAUUUAUCUGAGAAAGAUCCUGUCAAUACAAAAAUUGCCCUAAUUACAGUUUCUGAUAAGGACACAGAUGUGAAUGGCAAAGUGAUCUGUUUUAUUGAAAGAGAGGUCCCCUUUCACUUGAAGGCAGUCUAUGACAACCAAUAUUUGUUAGAGACCUCUUCUUUGUUGGACUAUGAGGGCACCAAAGAAUUCAGCUUUAAAAUUGUUGCCUCUGAUUCUGGGAAGCCCAGUUUAAAUCAGACUGCCCUGGUAAGGGUUAAGCUUGAGGAUGAAAAUGACAACCCACCAAUUUUCAACCAGCCUGUAAUUGAGCUGUCAGUUUCUGAAAACAACCGACGUGGGUUAUACUUAACAACUAUUAGUGCCACAGAUGAAGACAGUGGGAAAAAUGCAGACAUUGUUUAUCAGCUUGGACCGAAUGCCUCCUUCUUUGAUCUGGACCGAAAGACAGGAGUUUUGACAGCCUCCAGAGUCUUUGACAGAGAAGAACAAGAGCGAUUCAUUUUUACAGUAACUGCCAGGGACAAUGGGACCCCUCCCCUCCAAAGCCAAGCGGCUGUGAUAGUUACUGUUCUGGAUGAGAAUGACAAUAGCCCCAAGUUUACUCAUAAUCACUUUCAAUUUUUUGUGUCUGAGAAUCUGCCAAAGUAUAGUACUGUGGGGGUAAUCACAGUGACAGAUGCAGAUGCUGGAGAGAAUAAAGCUGUGACUCUUUCCAUUCUAAAUGACAAUGAUAAUUUUGUGCUGGAUCCUUAUUCUGGAGUCAUAAAGUCAAAUGUCUCAUUUGAUAGAGAGCAGCAGAGUUCCUACACUUUUGAUGUCAAAGCCACUGAUGGAGGACAACCACCUCGUUCCUCUACUGCAAAAGUAACUAUCAACGUCAUGGAUGUGAAUGACAACAGUCCAGUUGUCAUCUCUCCACCAUCUAACACUUCCUUUAAGUUGGUGCCCCUCUCAGCCAUCCCUGGCUCCGUGGUAGCAGAAGUUUUUGCAGUGGAUAUUGAUACUGGAAUGAAUGCAGAACUUAAGUAUACAAUAGUGAGUGGGAACAACAAAGGCUUAUUUCGGAUCGAUCCGGUAACAGGUAACAUCACCCUAGAAGAAAAGCCGGCACCUACCGAUGUGGGCUUACACCGUUUGGUGGUCAACAUUAGUGAUCUGGGGUACCCCAAGUCUUUGCACACACUUGUGCUUGUAUUUCUUUAUGUUAAUGACACUGCUGGGAAUGCCUCCUAUAUCUAUGACUUGAUCCGCAGGACUAUGGAGACCCCACUGGACAGGAACAUAGGGGAUAGCAGCCAGCCCUAUCAAAAUGAAGACUAUCUCACCAUCAUGAUUGCCAUUGUCGCAGGGGCCAUGGUGGUCAUUGUUGUAAUUUUUGUCACUGUUCUGGUGCGCUGUCGCCAUGCGUCCAGGUUCAAAGCAGCUCAGAGGAGCAAGCAAGGUGCUGAAUGGAUGUCCCCAAACCAGGAGAAUAAACAAAACAAGAAAAAGAAAAGGAAGAAAAGAAAGUCUCCCAAGAGCUCUCUUUUGAACUUUGUUACUAUCGAAGAGUCCAAACCUGAUGAUGCAGUUCAUGAACCUAUCAAUGGGACAAUAAGCCUGCCAGCUGAGCUUGAGGAGCAAAGUAUAGGAAGAUUUGACUGGGGCCCAGCACCUCCAACAACCUUCAAGCCUAACAGCCCUGACCUGGCCAAGCACUACAAAUCUGCCUCUCCACAGCCUGCUUUUCAUCUCAAACCAGACACUCCAGUUUCCAUGAAAAAGCACCAUGUGAUUCAGGAGCUCCCUUUGGACAACACCUUUGUCGGGGGUUGUGACACCCUUUCCAAACGCUCUUCCACUAGUUCAGAUCACUUCAGUGCCUCAGAGUGCAGUUCCCAAGGAGGCUUCAAGACAAAGGGCCCCUUACACACCAGACAGUGUAACUCACACAGCAAAAGUGACAAUAUUCCUGUCACUCCUCAGAAUUAUCCCAGCUCUGCGGGUUUCCACAUUCAGGAGAGUGAAGAAAGCCAUUACGAGAAACAGAGUGUCUGCUCUCCUUGUACUAAGGAUCCUAGGGUAAAGUCCUCAUUUGCAACAUAGAGAUGAAUUCAGAAUGUGGUUUUGUGCAAAAAUUCGUUUUCUUUCUCUGGAAAAUCAUCCAUUUUCAAAUCCAAAAUCUGUAACUGAUAAGAUUUCAAAUGGCCAUGCAGUUCAUUUAACUGAGAAUCCUGUUGAAGAGAAUAGUCAUGAGAUGAGUAAAUAUUCACAGACUCAAACACAACAGGUCACAAGAGUGUCAUCUUUCAAGUACAGUUGGGUGAUUUUCACACCACUUCAUAUCUCACCAACACCAGAGGUGUAAAGAAAUGACCUUUCCCCUUGAAAUGCCAAACUGCUGCUUUCAGAGAGACUGCUGUUGCUUCUAAAGAGACAGGUCUCUGCUUCGCUCUUUUGAAGCAUCUGCCAUUGCAAUCACAGGUAAAGUACUUAGCAGGAUGAAGACAGUGCCAUGAGUCUCCAAGGUAGGCUCAGUCUCACAAUGGGGCACUGGGGUUUGCCACCGCCUCAGUGCGUUCAAGCUGCCAGAGCACUUCUUGCAUGCUGAUCUCUUUAGAUAGCAAGACCUUCACUGUCCUUGUUUACAUUCUUAAAGUGAAGCUUUUCUCUCUGCUGAAAGUUUGCAGUCUGACAGCUUUAGAAUUUGAAUUUUUCCAUGUCUUUUCAGAUCAAGUACGGUGGCACUGACAGGAGUUUGCCAUACUGCCUUGUGUUCAUUUUCUGUAAAACUUGGGCUAAAGCCUGGUGCUAACUAUGCUCACCAGCAAGCUGGACCCCAGGACAAAGAUAGCAGGCCGUCCCCAGCUCAUAAGGGACAGCAAUGGCUUUGUACCAGGGGUUGCUGUGAAUGUUUUUAUAUAUCUUUUGAUAAAGUGAGGUCUUAUGGAAAAUGGCUUCAUUCAUAUACCUGAAAGUUUUGAGCAAAAAAUUCUCCUUUCAAUUCCUUCCCUAAACUGAUGCCACUUCAAACAGAUAUUGUUAGAUUGUUUUAAAUGUUGGCAUUGUUUGGAAACUGAAAUUGUUUUCUCUGGGAACCUUGAAUCUAAUCCUUUUCUUUCAUUUGCAUAACAUUAAAUGAUCAGCAUGCAACUUGAUUUCCAUAUAUUCAUUUGUGUAUUCCAAUCUACUACUGAAAUAGAUUGGGAACCUAAAGUAUAGCAGGCCAUAAUAAGUCCAGGCUAAGGGUGUUUGUAAAUUUUUUGAAGUGUGAAAAUAUGUUAUAUUGAAAUAGUUUUGUGUUUCUUUAUGUUAUAGCAAAGCCAACAUUUUAAAUAUAGGGAAUAUCUUAAGGAGGAAGGGUUACAAAUAACCAGGAAUUCCGUGACUAUGACUCCAGAAUAUAGCCCACCACCAAAUCUUCAUGGAUUUUAUAGGUUUUAUUUAUUUGUUUGUUAAUUUAUUUAUUUGUAUGACAAUGGAGACUGACCCCAGAGCCUCAUGCAUGCUAGGCAAGAACUCAACCACUAAGCCCUAUAGUUGUUCUUUCACUGAACUUUUCUCAAAAUGAUUUAGAAAUGCCACCACAAUCAGAUUAGUAUUAACCCAAGAGAGGGAGGAAAGGAAAUAAAGAGUUAAUACUGUGGAUAGAAAUGAAGAAAACUAUGUCAUAUGUAUUUAUGAAUAUGUCCAACUGAUCCCCAGUACUAUGUACAGGUCCAAUGCACUAUUAUUUUUUCAGUAAAACAAAAAAAAAUCACUUAUUUAUAAUUUGGUUGCAAUACCUGUAUAAUUUUACCAGAAACAGUAUUACAUAUUAGCUUAAUCACUAAAAUUCUUCACUAAACUUGUCCUCAAAUGAGUUAUGUUUGUUCCUGAAAACAUAUGCAGAAUUUCUGUCCCCAAGAGCAUUUAAACACUGAAUAGAAAACUCAAACAUAGUUUUUAUUAGAUAUUACAUAAGUCUAAUUACCCUACCUAGCCUAAAUUUUAUCUUUUAACUGUUUCAAGAUGAAGUGUUAUUUAAGCUUUGGCAUUUCAAAAGCCCUUCUUGUUCAAAUGAAAACAUUAAUGAGAAUUAAUAUGAAGAAAUGCCAACUGAAGAAACAAUGAAUCAGCCUGUCUAUUUACUACAACAAAAAGGAAAUGUUAACAACAGUGGAAUAAAACCUGAGUGUCCUGAAAACAGAAGAUUGUCUGCUAAAUUAAAUGUAGUUAAAGUUUGGAUGUCUAAUUAGUGAUUUGGAUAAAAAAGAUUCCUAUUUGUGUUUUCUGCUUUCAAAUACAUAAACCAGCAUGAAUGCUCCUUCUUGCUCUUCAUGAGACUCAUGUAUUACCAAACCUACAAAUGCAGGAAGGUGACAUUGAGCCCUCAGUGAAUGUCUUUGUUUUGAAAAGAUUUUUUGCAAUUUAUCUGAUAUUCAGAACACUGAGUAGUAGACUUCCCAAAACUCAUUUUCACCAGUAAUUACUAUAAAAUAUUAAAUAAAGCUAUAAAGUGAUUAUGUAGACACAAUAAAAUUGAUAUUAGAGGAAGCAGGGGAGAGAAGGGGAAGAGCCUGAUGAGGCUUUAAGUGUCUACUCUGAGCCAGACAUUCUCCAAACCACUGUGAAACAAAAAUCAAUAGAGGCGUGAGGAAUUGUUACCUAAUCAGGAGGCAAACAUGUAAACACACAAUUACAGGAUGAGAGACUUAUUAAAAUAGAAGACAAUAGAGAACCCUGGGAAUAUCGAGAAAGGCAUGGCAAACUCUGUCUCAUGGAGAUUGGUAACCUAAAGAUGGCAGGACAGAAGAGACUUCAAAGGAAUUUUGAAAUUUGAGCUGAUUCUUAAAAAUUGAAGUAGGAGUUAAAAAAUAAAUAAAUAAAAGAAAGAUAAAGAAGAACAGAAGAAUGUAUUCCAUACAUUGCAAAAGUGUGUUUCAAUGCUUCUAGGCUAAAUAUCUAAGUAUUCAAUAAGUUAAUGUGGUUGGACCCAAUGAUGAUAUAUAUGGAUGUGGCAAAAGAAGGAUUUGGAAAAGCCAGAAUGCAAUCUUGUGUGUCUUGCUAAGGAACCAGGACAUUUUAUCUACGUUAUAGGAAGAAAUAAAGUAUUUUAAGCAAAAUUUAUAUGAAUCGAAUUUGAGUUCCACUAAACAAAAUCAAAACCAAAAUUGUUCUAGUGUUAGAAAGUAGCAUCCAAUUUUUUUUUUUUUAGUUGAUAGAGCUAAUUAAUUUAGGGCAUGUCCUCUUAAAUAUCAUCUCAAGGAACUAAAAGGAAAAAGUAAAUGAAAACUGAAUAAAUUUGCCAUGUUUAAAUUGGGGGAAAGGCUGACUGGGCAUGAGUAAUUUAAUUUCACUAUUCACCCUAAUACUAAUAAUAUUUUAAUAAUGUUUCAACAAAUCUGAUUGAAAGAAAGAUUCUAUGCAUUCCCUACACUGAAGUCAUCCCAGGACUUUGAUAGUGCUAUGCUUCUUAGGUUAUUAGAUCUAAGGUAAGGGAUGAACAGGUCAGCAAUUGAGGACUUUUUGUUUUGUUACCUGCUUUGAGGCUUUGUGGCUACUAUUGAGGACAGGACAAGUAAUAUCAGUGUGUCUAUGAGUUUUCUUGAUAAUGGACUACACCCUCAAUAUGUUGAUCACGUUUCCAAAGAAAUAACAUGACAAAAUGUUCUAUGCAGUUUUCAUGUUUGCAACAUUUCUUUUCCCUAUCAAAUAGUACUGUUGAACCUGAAAUCACUUAUCUAGUUGGACUUGAAUGGCCCUAAGCAAAAACAGAAAAGAAAAAAAAAAAGAGAGAGAAAGGAGAUAUAAACAUACAGCCCAAAGUGAGGAAGGGAUUUGUUUACACUUCUGAUGCAUGAGUUUCACAUUAGGGUAUUAAUAAGGGCAAUAUAAAUAAAUGCUUGUAUGUAUUCUCUAGUUCUGUCUGUAAGUUGCUGCUUGAAUAGCACAUUUUUUUUUUUUCUGCAGCAUACAAGUAGAGUGGUUGCUUUUUCACAGACUGCUUUGUAAUUUUAUGACAUUCUUUUCCUCAUCAUAUCCACUCUCUCUUACACACCUAUUGUUAAUCCAUAACAUUUUUUUUAAAGUCUUGAUUGCUCAUUUUUUUUUUCUCUGAGGUUUUGGUAAACCAUAUUCCAAUGGGAAAAUACUUAUUUGUUCCAAGGCAAAGUAGACCUUUGAAUAUCAAAACUUAAACAUAUUAUAAAUUUUUGUUAUAGUACACGUCUAAGUAGUCCCUGAUCUCUUCAAAGACAUUGUUUUAAAAAUGCUGCUAAUCCCCCCACAAAUUACCAAUACUCAGAGACUUUAGAAUUGAAGAGAUCCAUGUGAAGUUUUGCUAGAGGAACUCAAUUGGUAUGAUUAAACUCUCAAAAAAUAGAAGCUUAAAAUAUUAAAAACACUAAAACAUUAUAGAAUUAUUGAAUGAUUUUAAAGUGAAGAAGUAGUUUAAGGGGAUAAAUGUUUAUAGGGAACUGCCUGAUUUCUUAAAUUUAAUUAUGUAUUUUUUGAAAGGAAAAUGUUUAAGUGAUUUAUGUGAAAAAAGAAAUAAAUGUCUGAUAUAUGCUCCCUCCCCUCAAGGUAAAUACCAUAUCCUCUCGCCAUAGGAAAAAGCAUAUGUACCUGUUUACUAUGGAAUGCAACUGUAUUAAAAAACAUUUGGCAGGAACAUAGAUGUAGAGAAGAAAAGGUGAUAUCAUAUCUCUGGAAUAAAUAUCAGUAAUAUCCAGAGUAAUAUAUUUACUGGAUAUUCAUUUUUACAAUGGAAAAAAUGUCCCAUUAUCCCCACCCCAAGUUUAUAUCACUUAAUAAUAUGUCAACCUGUGGAAGCCGAAGGAAUAAGAUGGAUAGGGCUAUUAUAAAAAUGUUAAAGGAUAUUCUUGAUGCUCCAAAGGGCAGUGAGAUAAUACACAUAUACUGGCUUUAAAGAUCCACUGAGGGAAAAAUUGUUGCUACAGGUUUCAGAAAAUACUUUCCAGUCAUAAAAGUAGUAUUGUCAAAAGAAGCUAUUUAUUGUGAUUGGUAACAAUUUUCAGGUGAUCAGAGAAACUAAUUAUUACUCUGUUUCACAUUCAUUCUGUCUUACAUGCAUUAAAGCUCCUAUUAUGUUUAUAAGUUAAAAAGAGAUUACCUCCAACUUUCUCACAUUUCCCAUAUGUGUGGAGAAUUUUACUCUUCUUUUACAAUCUCUAAGAUAGUGAUAAAACCUUUAAUUUAAAUAAAUCUAUCAUCUGUCAAGCCUGGUUCUGUGAACUAAAAAUUAUCAAAAUAGUAUCACUUUUUUUGUUUCUCUUUGUACACAAUAUAGAAGUUCAUAAAUUAUUUAUUUACUAUUGUAGAAGGUCAAAGAACUGAGAUAAGAAAAUCCUCCACUCUUGAAUCUGAAAGUAAAACAGUGCAUAUGAAGGUGAAAUCACAUACUUAUGAUUAAAAUGAUCCACCUUUGACUAUUUACCUCUCUAUAGAAAGAAACUGAUGAAGCAUUAUUAUCACAUAUUUUAGAUGUAUGAUUUCAUUUCUUUAUUUUAUUCUUAGAGGAAUUUCCAGAAUUUCUAGUGUUUCAUGGUUCCAAUAGAUCUAAUGUAUAAAAACCAAUGUCUUACAUUUGCCGAUGUAGAUAGGUGUGUAUGUAUGUUUUAUAUUUAUGUAUAUGUAAACACCCAUAAAUUAUUAUCCCCUGUUAAAACAACAGAAAUCUUGGUAGGCAAGUAUGUUAUUCACAAGCCCAACGAUUCAUUUACCUGCCGUGUACAAACCACUUAACUUGACAAGCAUUUCAUUUUUUGUCUCUAAGUUCAGAUAAUAGGAUUUUUAAUAAUAACUAUCUCAUAGACUUGCUGUUAAUAUAGAAUACAUAUAUGUAGGUAUACAUGUAUAUUUAUUUAUUUAUUUGUAAACUGUUUAACAUAGUGUGUGGAAUAAGAGCUAAAUAAAUGUUAGCUAUUAUUUUCAUCCUUAGUUAACUGAAAAACUGGUUAUAUUUCUCUGAUGAAAAAAAAAGUCUAGAGAAAUCAAGAAAUGAGCGAAGGCUACAAAAGUAUAAUUGUACUCUUUAAUAACAGUGGUCCCAUCACAGCAGAUUGGGAGAUUUGCACUUUGUCAGCACUCAGUGCAUAUUAAGGAAACAAUCAAUCAAGGCUUCGUGACAACACAGCUAUUCCUAAUCCAUUAUUCAUUUCUGAAAUUCUAGUUGUAAGGGAAAGGUCUGUAUGUUGGAGCUGAUUUCCCAUUUUUUUUUUCACAUGUUAUUACUUUGUGGUGAAAUAGAGGAGCGAAUUUUCUAUCACGGGCCAAGUCUAUACUUCUGUUGAACAAAAUAAAAUCAGAAGGACCUACAUAAGAGUCAGCUUCAAGUCAACUAUGGUAGCAUUGCCCAAACCACUGUUAUUCCUUUUAUAAUUUCCUCAUGCUUUGUUGAAUAUGAAAGAGAAGAAAGAAGAAUUCAUAGGCAUUUAAUCUUCCACUCUAUAUUUAGAUAUCCAUUUAGAAAGGGCCACAUUCAGUUCGUGGCAUACAUGGUAACAUGCCAUGAAUUGCCUUUAAACACCUAAUUCAUGAACUCCAAACCUCUGCUCCUAGGGGAAAUACGGGGUUGGGUUCCUGGGAGCUUCUGUCCUAACAUUUUCAUAUAUGGAUCAAUAAAUAACCAUUUUUAAUGUAUGUUCUGUUUAAAGAUGUCUUGUUUCACUCAUACAGUUAAUUUGUUAACACUGAACUUGUAAAAGAGCAGUGUGAAUCAUGUCAAAACAAAGUUCAUCUAACAUCCAUAUUUUCCUUACAAUGUGUCAUAGAUUUUUGUGUCCAGAAGCACUAAGCACUUUAACACCAUGCUCAUGAUCUAUACUAAAUUACAAAAUCACAAAAAAUGUAAGAAAUAAGAAGUGGCACUAAAUAGACCUUAAAAAGGACACUCGUUUACAACAUAAGAUUUAAAACAGGAAUGGAGAGCAUUGCCUUGUUCAAACUCUGCUAGGAACACUUAUGUCAGGAGACACAUUUUUCAAAGCUCAGCACAUUUCUGAGAAAGACUUAAAAAUACUAUUGAUUUGGAGAUUAUAAGUAGAUUUUAUCAAGUAGGCAAAUUCACAAACAUAGAAUUCUUGAAUAAUGAAGACUAAAUAUACCUAUAAAAUAAUCUAGUUUAAAAAACUAUAUUCUUACUCUAACAGUGCAAAAAUUACUUAAUAGCAAUAUAAUAGCAAUAAUAUGGAUUUAUUGGAUAUAUGUCAUGUCAGGCACUGGACUAAGCACUCUCUACAUUUAACAACCAUGACUAUACUUCAUUUCUAUAGACAAAUGAAGUUUUAAUGAAAUAAAGCUGUCAUGGUAGAAGUGGACUUACCUGGAUGUAAUUGAAUAUUGCAUUGUUUAUAAUGAGAGGGAUAUUUUAGUGUGUAACAGAUUGGAGUCUUUGAACAUGGUUUGAGCCCUAGGACAGACUUUGUGGCUCUAGGAAUAGUAUCUUACACUUUAGUACUGCUUUGAUCAUUGCCUCUCUUGUUUAAGGAUUUACUUCUUACUUUUGAACAUGCUAUAGAAAUAUAAAAUAACAUGUCUCUCUUUGCAAGUUUUGUGAGGCCACAUUCCUCUCAAUUUUUGGUCAUCUAAAUAAUUUCAUAUUUUUUCUCAAUAUACAUUCCCAUCAAAUAACUAAGGAAUAAUUCCUAUUCUCACGAUUCUUUUAAGUGAGUUUGAAAGUUUCCUAUGUGGUGGGUAGUGUCCGUGACCAGCCUUCUAAACACACUUAUUCCUUCAUGAAUAUGGACUAGGUAAAGAACACCAACAGUACUUUUGGAACCACCUUUUAUAACAGUGUUGACUUGGGAAAGUGCAGCUGCUGGGUGGAAUGACAAAAAUAUUUAUCACUGGUAUAGAUAAUCACAUUCACUUGUUGAAUGGCAGGGGCUAUAUGGGGACUCCUGUAAUUUGGAGGCAUUCCUGGAGAUUUAAGAAAGAGAACAGAAGGACUCUGGAAGCUUUGGAGCUAGGUAGGCAGAAUGAGAAGAAGGAAACAGAUUGAGCUUGGAAGAUAGGAUAGAGGAAGUUAGUAGAGAUUAACAAAGGAAACCAAAGGGAUUCCUAGUUGUUCAGCACAAUUUCUACCUGGAAAGCCCUCUUUAGGCCAAGGACCUUGAGGCCAGGACCUUCCUACGUGACUGGUAUGUCUUUUUCACUGUUGACAAAUAUAGAUGCUGGCUGGUAAGCUAAGUUCUUCACAACAACCAUGGGCUGUGUUUUCUUCAUCUCCCUACUGCUCUGAAGAUUGUUUUUUUUUUCCCCUCAAAUUUUUCAUAUGUAUUCUUGUCCCCAAAAUUUAAAAUUGACAAAUAAAGGAUGCUAAUGAUGGAAAAAAUAAGCUUUCUAAAGGAUUCUCUAUUAUUCUCUUCCUUCUCAAAAAUAAAUUUUAAAAAUUUUAUACAGAUUUAUUAUUCCCUAAACAAUACAACAUAACAGCUCUUUACAUAGCACAUAGCAUUUGCAAUGUGUUAGUAUUUUAAGAGAUCUAGAGAUGCUUUCUAACACAUGAGAGGAUAUUAUAUGCAAAUACUAUGCCAUCUUAACAGCAUUUUAUAGAAGGGACUUGAGCUUUAGAUUUUAGCAUCUGUGGGGGUCCUAGAAUCUGUUCCCCACUAAGGGAACACUAUUUUGUUAUGGUAGCUCAAACAUACUAAGACAAGAAUUUUAAUAUAUUUUUAUUAUGUUGUGCCCCAAAGAGCUCAAAUAUAAAAUUAGUUAAAGAGUUUUUGUUCAAAGUCAGCAAAAUAUAAGAGAAAGGCCAGGGGUGAGUGUGAAUUUAAGCCAGUUUUACUCCAAAACCUAAACUUAAAAUAAGGAAACUACGCAUACUUCCCAUAGAUAUACUUUGGCUUUGAAAAUUUUAUUAUGGAUAUUUAAUUUAAAUAUUUUGCUUUUCCUUUAGAAUCACUUUCAUCUUAAGAAAUUUAUUUGUUGAGAAAUUUUGUAAUUCAUCAAGGCAUAAAUGUAUUGUUACAUGUUAAAUAGGCUCUUUGUAAAUAAAUAUAUCCAUAUUUCUGCCUUAAAGGGAUUCUAUGAGUCUUUAUGAUACAGUCAGGAAUUUUUCAUUGCUUUCUGAGGAGAUUUUUUUCUUCCUAAUGUGUUGAAAUAUUUUCAGGUACUAAUGCUUUUGUGGCAAAUUUCAAAGGAAAGUUGUCUAAGGGCAGCAUGUAGUUUAGAAGAGUUUCUCAAAUGCUUUCCUGUUCUUUGUUACACUUUGUAUUUUUAAGUUCUUUGAAAGUAGGUACAGUUCCUCAUAUUCAAAAAGAUGUUAGAAGAACCUAAACUAGAUUUCUAUUGGUUUAAUUUGACAUUUCUUUGAAAACAUGCAAGUUGGCAGAGACAGGAUUUCCUCAAGCAGGUCCAGAAUUUCAUUUCAGAAAAGACCAAGGUUUGUCUAUAGACUCACUGUUUCAAAGCAUUAACAACGCUGUGAUAUAACUUGAGAAGAACAUAGGGCCUCACACAAGAUAUCUCAAAGAUCAGCUGGGCGUAUUUUCAAAUGAAAGUAUUUCCUAUAAAGGUUGACUCUUUUGUUUGAACUAAAAGUUUCUAAUGUUUCAGCUCAGUGUAUAAUCAUAUCAGAUUUUGCAGAUGUUGAUGUGGAAAAAAAUAAUCAACAGAUAUGGAGGGCAAAACACUGGAAUAUAAUUUUACAUAAGUGGAAGGGAGGGGUCAUUUUGCUUAUUUUUAAAGUAAAUAUUUGUAGAUUUUAAAGUAAUUUACUUUCAUUUAUUUUAAAUGAUGUACAGAACAAAGAAAAUAACAGUCAUCUGUAGCGUGUCAACAUAUAUUGAUGUCUUCCCCCUAUUAACUAACUUUAUAGUAGCAAUAGCAUAUUAACAACAACAUCUAAGUUUUUUGUUUUGUUUUACUGUUGUUAUUCUAUGUUCUUAAGCAGGCAAGAUUUCUGUGCUUCAAGCCCUGCUGCCAUAUUUAGUGACCUGACAUUAUUGUUAUCUUUCUUUGGUAGAUGGUAAAAUGAAAGAAUACCUUUCCUUCCUCCAUUAGCAUAUUAAGUGGCCAAUAGGGAUUGACUCUGUCUUCCCUCACUCCCAGCCAUCUAAGCAGCCUGGUCUAGCAUUCCUUUUAUGUUAAAAUGGCAGCACCCUGGUCAGCAGCAGUCCUCAGCAGUUCAUUGGGCUUUGUCUCUAGGAGCACUGGGAACAUUAUAAGCGGCAUCAGCUGGUAGUUCCUCAUGUUAACAGAGACUUCUUAAAACCUCAUUUCUCAUUGUCAGUCCUAUUCAUAAUUGCAUAUCUCUGUGUCCUGCUUCUUUGACUUGUCCAAAGGACUAAAAAAACAUGUUUUCCCCUGAGGCUAGAUAUAGACUUACUGACUCUUGGAAUCUAUUACCUUUAAGUGGCAUAACUUUUCCAUUUCACUCAUGCAGAAAGACAUUACAAGGUAUGACUUACAAUUAAUUUCUCUAUCUGUCCACCUAUGAUUGUCAUCAUUUAUGUAUGUAUUUAGGACAUCAUCUGUAAAGUUAUCACAUGGGCCCCCUAAAACACUGGCAUGCAUACAUACCAAACAGUGGCUAGAUUACUUACCAAAUCUAAUGGACACUAAGGAAGGCUGUCUUGCAAGCUGUCUUAACAAAUCAAUCAGUGCAAUACAUUGUCAAUAUUAGCUAUGCUGUCACAUUGAAAUGAACACAUGUAUUUUGUAUCUUAUUUGAUAGGAGUGACAAUAGUAGUAUUGGUCAAAGCACAAUAUAGCAGGAUAUUGCUGUGGAAAAGUUAAGUAAUACAAAAAUUUAUAACCAAUUAUUGUAACUUGAACAGAUAAUGUAUCUGGCUAUGUGUGUACUGAAAGUGUAAAUUCAUUAAAAUGUUAAACCUAAGAUUACAUGCAUAAGAAUAUUCAGUAGUGAAGUUACUGUAAACUGUUAAUAACAAAUGAAAGAAAAACAUUUUCUCUCUUUCCAUGUUUUCUAGAAAUUAUGACCUGAAAGUGUAUGGAGUUAUCUAAACUACACACUUAUGAAAGGCUCGAGCUAUAGAGGACUGUUUAUACUUAGAGGACAGCAACAGUGCAUGAACAUUUAUAAAUAAUCCCACAUUCAAAUAAAGAAAUUAUACUUCCCAAGAUUGCAGUUAUUUUUUUAAAGGCAAAUGUUUGAUUAAUGAUGUUUUGACAAAACAAAAAUGGUAUUUCCCUUCUUUGAUAAUAUAAGGAAACAAUAAAAUGUAAUUGGCCCCUUGAUGAUAUCCUGCUGGUUUUGAAAAAAAUGAAGGUAAAAAAUUAGUUGCAGAAGCUAAAGAGCAUUUUAGUUACUUUAAAAUUAGUUGCAGAAGCUAAAGAGCAUUUUAAAUGUUCCAAAUUAUAUGAAUAUAAUAAAAUAUUAACUAUAGCUUAUUUUUAUUAAGGGUUGAUAAUUUUUUUUUAAAUAUUUAUUUAUUUAUUUUUUUUGUUUUGUUUUCGGCGGACACAACAUCUUUGUUUGUAUGUGGUGCUGAGGAUCCAACCCUGGCCGCACACAUGCCAGGCGAGCGUGCUACCUCUUGAGCCACAUCCCCAGCCCAAGGGUUGAUAAUUUUAAUAUAAAUUUAUAAUGUGACCAAAUAGUAGGGGAAAAAUUCUUUGUCAUCAAAACAGUAUCUCUUUUUAUUGAAAUAUUACUUGCUUUUUAGGCACUGGAUUUUGGUGAUAUGCUGAAAAAUUUUACAGGAGAUUUGGGCAUCUUACAAAUUUUGGAAAAGAUAUUAGAGAUGCUAGAAAAAUAAAAGUGAAAACAGAAGCAUAGUCACAAACACAAACACACCCAGAAGAUUUAAAUAUAUAUAGAAAUUACUUGGUAAACAUUUGAAGUCAUAAAAUAUUUCUUUUAAAAUAUUUUAUUGAUAAAUUAUAAUUUUACAUAGUAGUCACUUUCAUUAUGCCAUAUUUGUGCAUGCACAUAACAUAAUUUGAUCAACUUCUUUUUCUAGUAUUAAAUAUGACUUUAAUCAUACUGGAAAUAGAAAAACAACCUAUUAUGGAAUCAAUUUCAUUAUAGAAAAAGCUUGAAAUCAUUAAAGAAUAUUUAAUUAUAUGAAUAUAAUUUUGCAUGAAUCUUUUUCUUGAGACAUCAUUGCUAAAUUUUCCUAAAAGUGAGAUCUUCUUAAUAGCUUAUAUGUAUAAAACUCAGAAAAUGUGUUAGUUUGCCUGGUGCCAUAGCACACGCCUGUAAUCACUGUGGCUUGGGAGGCUAAGAAGGGAGGAUUGUGAGUUCAAGCCAGUCUCAGCAAUUUAGCAAGGUACUUGGCAACUCAGCAAGACCCUGUCUCUAAUAAUAUAUAUUAAAAGGUCUGAGGAUGUGGCUCAGUGGUUAAGCACGCCAAGGUUCAACCCCUAGUACCAAAAGAAAGUGUUAUUUUGACAUAGUUUUAUGUUAGUAUGUUUAGUUUCUAAAAUUUAUUUUUCUGUUCAAAAAAAAUGAUGAAAAUGAUUCAUUUGAAUUUUGAAAUCUGCUUUUAUUCAAUUAUCUUAUUUAUCAGACAACAACUGCAAUGUGUGGUAUUGUGUGUGUGUGUGUGUGUGUGUGUGUGUGUAAGAGAAAGAAAAAUUGAGACAUAGAGAUUGGUGGAAACCCUAGAGAAGGAUCUGAAUUGUUUUUCAUUUACUGUUAUGGUUUUUAUAUAAAGUCAAAGAGAAGGAAAAUGUACUUUAAAAAGUGGUUUAUAAAUUUACUCAGUGGUUAAAAAUUUUGCUCCAUUCUUAGUUACAUGGCACAUGUUUUUCAGAGAUAGAAAUUCAUCUAAUAUACAAAGACUCUAGCUGAGACUAGUCUUUGUAUAUCAAAGACGAGUGCCCAAUAAUUUUUUCAAAUUAAAGAGAAAAAUAGUAAACUAAGGGUAAGUAUAAAAAAAUAAAACAAAUAAAAGGAAUAUAUAAUUUUGGAGGACUAACAAUAUGAAUCAUCUUCCAAAAAAAUGAACUAUAUGGCAAUGUUUACACUAUUUUAUAGGAUAGAAUUAUUUUAUCUUGUAGUAUUUUCCGUGGGUUAUUAAAACCUCUCAUAGAACAUAUUAGCAGUGAAAAAUGGCAUCCAUAACAUCUGUCAGCAAGACAUAAAUAUUCUUAAUUGUUUAACAUAAUAUGUUGUCAACAUUUUAGAUUUUCUUAUAUAUUUUUCCAAGUUCUUUUGCAAUCAUUUUCUAAACGUUUACCCAAACCCUAUUUACUCUGAGAAGGCUCUUAUUCACUGCUUGCACGCAAGCUCAUUUGCUUGGGUUUUAUUUCUUGCCAUUUCCUACCUCCUUCAUUUAUUGUAUAUGUGUUAACAUGUUUGAUUGUAAUGGCCCCAGAAGUAUUAUGGUAUCUUGUUGAUAACUUAUAUUUUACACUCUCUAAAUGCCUGAAUGACAUUAUCCACUAUCAUUGUAUUAAUCCCCACUUUAAGUGUCUAAUGACUGAUAAUGUCAUUCAUGCAUUUACCACCUUAAUCUGUGUCUUAAUGGACCCCUAACUGUUUGCUUAUGUGACAAAGUAUACUGACACAUCAAAAUGUGAUGUUUUAUCCUCUGUUGUAAUUGUUAUUAUUAAAACAAUGCUAUAGGGUACAUUUAAAGGAAACAUUGAGUAUCAAAACUUAAAAUUUUUUCUGAAGGAAAUUGUUCUAUAAUCCAUGACAAAAAGGAUGUCUGUGGGUUUGGGCUUUUUCUUAACAUUCAACUUGUAAGUGCUCUACAAUUUAAAAGCUAUGAGCAUACUAUUUAUGACCCCUUAAAAUUAUGAAAAAAAAGCUCUGUGGAUUUCCUUUUUUUAUGUUUGUGUGUAUUUAAAUUGUAUUUUCAAAAGCCUGGAUACAUAUACCUGUACAAGGUGUCACAAAACAAAAACAACCUUUGCAUGAAAUAAGAUUUUUAGACAUUUUCCAUUCCACAAAGAGUUUCUUUAGACUGGAUACUCAUGCUUAACAUGCUAUUUAGCUAUGUAUAGGAACUUUUAUUAUACUUUCAGUGUUUGAAAUAUUUUUUCUGUCUUAUUUCUUCAAAGUUUAUCCAUUGAUCAAACUGGAAACUAAAUUUGUGUAUAAUGUUAAUUAUGAAGAAUUUGAAAAACAAAAUUAAAUACAAAACUGAACAGUAAUACAUGCAAUUGUGGGGGGUUUAUUUGUAAGUUGUUUAGACUGAAAUUUACCUUGCAGUUAUUUACAGAAUUUCACACACCACCCCUUACAUAUUGUCUUUUUCAAUUUUCUCCAAAUAUUCUUGAAAAUAUGUAUUUAAAAAGUAGACUACUGCUAAGUUUUAGUUAAGUCUUACUUCUGCAGUGUACCAGACACCACUUAACUAAGUUAAGUGAUUUAAGUCAUAACUAAAUUUGUGUGCAGGGUAUCUCACCAAAAGGACAAUUAGUGACUUGUAGUUUCAAUGUAUAUUCAUUUAAGAAUCAGGCAGUGGUAUCAAGGAUCAUAUCUUAAUCCAGUUCCUCUGAGUUAUUCCAUUGACAGACUCACUUUGUGCCUAGCAUGCAUGCACAACUCACAUUAUCUCAUAACAUAGCCUUGUCCAGGAGCUUACAAAUAAGAUGUGGUAUUCACCAUAUCUACUUCUGAAGAUGGGCCACCUGAUAAGCACUCUAUCAUCUCCUUGUGAAAAUGAACCACAUGACCUUCCCUGAAUACCUAUUAAUGUCUAGGGGGGAAGGAAGGUGCUGUUUGGAAUGUCCUCAGAAGUCCAUCCAAUGUAAAUUUGGGGCACUCUUCCUAAAAUAUAUGCAAGUAGAUUCCAGAUUGAAAGCUACAGCAUAUUUUCAUUCCAUGUGGUCUUUGAAAUUUAAUAUGUGUAGACUCUGGUGUUCACUUUAGAAUAUUGCAGUAUGAGUGUUUGUUUGCAAGUGUGAGUGUGAGAAUACUUCUCUAACAGAUUUGGUCUUAUAGAAAAAGUUCAAAUACUUAAAGCAUAUAUUUUUGUUGGUAAUUUUAGGAGGUUUAUAAUAUUUGGGUUUCUCCAUCUGUCUCUCUCUACAUGUAAAACACAACCACUUAAAUCUCAAAGCAGUGAAUGCAGUAGCACUCCUACUUAAUGAAGGCUUAGUCAGAAUUAUCUUUGCUGAGGGCACACACCUGCAUGUAGCUGGCAUCUCAAACCUGAGUCUACCUGAAGUUCACUGCUGAUAGUAAUUGAUUUCCUUCCUUCAGUCAACUUAACAUAGAUCAAGAGUGAAGUGGCACUUGGCUACACGCACAAUCUCAGCAGCUGCAAUUUUGCUGUUGCCUGUCAUACAGAGCACUUCCAGGGUUUCCAUAGAGGCUGGGCAUGUUUCUGAAUUUCAUUUUGAGACACAGACUGAUCCUUCCCUGUUCACUGGAGUUAGGGAGACAUCUUACACUACUCAUACUAAAAAGAAAAUUGCUUCUGAUAUUACCAUUGAAUUCGUAUCUUUCCCUCUCUAUGAAACGUUUAUAAUAGAUUUUAAAUAUUUCCUUCUCAUUACCUUAAUGUUAGGAGAUAACGUUUUAUUUUUAUCUUACAAAUGUUAGGAUUAAUAAACCAAUAAUCAUAUUAUCAAAACACAAAUAUUACUAUGUUGAUUUUAUUUUUUCUUCAAGUUAAACAUAGUUUUAUGCCAUCGUAAUCUAAGAAAAUAAAUACGUAAAUAAAGAGAGAGAGAGAUGAAAUGUCCAUAAUCUCAUAAAUUGUUGAAAAUAGCACAUAGUCUCAGUGGCUAUAACAGGUCAGAUCCUUGGGGGCACUCAUGCUGGUCCUUUUGGAAGUAUCAGAUAAAACCUAAAAUAGUUAAUGAAGAAAAGGAGCAUAAGGGAAGAAGGGGCCAAACAUUGCCCUUCCUUGUUCAAUUUAAAUGACUUUAAAGAUCUAGGGUUUGAAUAACAUUAAAAUUGGUUCAUCAUGUACAUAUUGGGAGAACAAGUCUGGGAAAUAAAUUUUCUUUUGCUAGUGUAAUGUUUAAAACAAGGUCCACAUCAUAAGUAAGCAGAUACUACCCUCAGACACAAUACUGAUAGUGUGAGGAUUUAUUAGUUCAAGAACUAGCUAUUAUAUUAUACGGAAUAAAAAUUAAGGCAAAACACAGUUUUAAAAUAUAAAAUUAAAUGAAACUAUAUUUGAUGUUUGCAGUGUCACAUGGUAUGCUUUAGAAGUCUGUGCUACUGUCCUUGCCUUUCCCAUAUUGUCUUAACUGAGCCCAUCCAUGUUUUAUUUAAAUUAAUGCAAUGAUUUCAUUGCUUCCAAAGUACUUCCCUAAUGAGAAACAUAAAACAAUAAAUAGAUUUAAUUUGGGUGGAUUCAAGCUAAAUCCUAUACUCUGUAGCCAACAUUCCAUGUUCAAUUACAGGUUUAUGUAAAGUACAUGGUAAAUAUUGUAGCCCUUCUAUUAAUGUUUGUAAAUAUUUUGUAAAGCUUACACUGGGUUACAAAUUAGGCAUUCCAAAUAUGGCAUGGUUCAAAAUAAUUAUUGUUGUUUUUAUUUGUUCUAAACUAUGUUGGCUGUGAAACCUGCAGAAAAAAUGUGUUGUGUGAAUAGCUCUAACAUUUUAUAACCUGUGGCUAAUUCUUCAUUAGUAGUACUGUAGUCUAUAUUUAAAAAUAUUAUUUAUUUUCAAUAGCAUAUUAUGCUGUUUGAAUUUAUACUGCUUAUAGUUUAUUUAAUUAAACAUGUGAAAAACAGGCAUGUUUGGAGAAAAUUACAUAAUUUCCAUGCAGUGUUCAUAAUAAAAGAUGCUUGUAAGAUGUUUGUCAAGACUUUUAUAUGUGCCCAUAUUUAUGCAUUCUUUAUUUAGGGAGCUGCAGGCAAUUGUAACACUCAUUAUCAUAACUUUCUUCUUCUUUUUUAUUUUUUUUACUUUGCAACCUCUUAAAGAUAUUCUCUGCCUUUUAAAAAUAUUUGCUUGUGAUUUAAGUGCUCAUGUUUUCAAAUAAAAAAUAAGUUAUCUUUUAAACAUAGAUACUUUUCUCCUACAGUUUUUAUUUAAGCAGCUCAUGAGGCAACAAUUACAUGAGAAUUCAGACUGAGACAAGCCACUAAGGUACUGUUUUCAGAACCCAAGUGGUCUCCACGAAACAGAGCAUCUAGGGGUAUAUUUUCUUUUAACUUGACUUCAUUUCUCCCUAAUUAGUAGUGUGCAAUGUACCAUUGUGAUGUCUGCUUCACCCCCUUGGUUCUUGCACCUCCCCUUGGGGAUUUCCCAGCUGUUUUGCUCUCCUGUUGUAAUUGAAAUCUUACUUGUUCCAGCCUGUAAUUGAUAGUGAACCCAACCAUUUUAUGUUUGUCAUGCAACAGAUGUACAACAGAAACACUCAAUGUGGCAUAUGGAAAAACUGCCCUACUAGAGUGAAAUCAGAUCUGUUCCUAUAUCACAACCCCAUCCUCUGAACAUUUUAUGGUUUUCUCUCCUCCUUACAAGAAUGUUGUUGUUACAAUGGUCAAUAUGAAAGUCAUAAUAUUCAUUUGAUGUGUGGUUAUUCUUCUCCGGCCUUAUGAUAUGACUGUGUCUCUGUAGUAAAGACUAUAUAGAAUAAAAUAGAUUAAUUAACAAAUGAAAUAUGGUUCCCUGCAUAUUUCUUUUGUCAACAUUGGUUAGCAGUUUUAAUUAAAUAAUUAACCUUACAUGAACAAGUCUAUCUCCAUGAAUCAAUCAAGAAAUUUUUCAAUUAAUUGAAUUAUUCACUGUAUUGUUUUAUUUUUAAAUACAGACAUGAAAUGAAACAAAAUCAAUAUAAUUGCAUCUGUACUCAAAAAUCAUAACUUCUGCUUCAUGGAGGAAUAGUAUCUUUAUAAAAUAAUAUAUAGGGCUUUUGAGUAAUUGAUUUUUUUAUCACAGAAUAUAUUCUAUGUUGAAUAGAUGGUACUGAAUGCUUUGUGAUAUUUGUUGGUGAAAAGGUCGGUCGAGCAUUGGAGGAAAAGACCACCAAGAGACCGUCUCAUACAACAGCAAAGGGGUUUAUUGGGGGUCCAGCAUGCUGGGGCUCAGAGCUCACUUCAGAAGAGCAGAGAACAAAGAGCCCCAAGAACCACUUGAGCAGAGUUUAUAUACAUUCUUCAGAGAGGGCAGGGGCUUUACAUACAUCAUAGCCUCCUUUAGCAAAUCAUCAUAUAUCACGGGAAAAUCAAAUAACAACUCUAAAACAUGAUUAGCACAUUCAUUGGCGGGAACAGGUCUGGUGGGGGUGAUUGGUUAGUACUAAGAUAGGUAUAUAUUUAAACUGAUUGGUUGAAGCCCUGAGAUGUGUACGUGCUGAGCUGCACGGUUUCUGAGAAGGGGUGAUUUAGUAACUAGGUGGUCAGGGGAAGAUUUCGACACAUGUCUAACAGGCAGUUCCAGGAAUUGUCUUAACUGCCACAGGAAUUUCAGGCUCUGAGUGCAGCUUGGAAACUUUACAAAACCUGGUCCUUUACAUUUUAACUUCAAUUUCUUUUAUCCUUUCAUUGGUAGACUUUUGUAUGGGUUGUUGGGCCUCAGUGGCUGAACUAAUGUGGAAGGAGACAGUGUGAACUAAGAAGGAUAGGGACUAGAGGAAUUAGUUACAUCACAGGUUAGCCAACUCCCAUUCCAUGUGGAGUGAGAUUUCCAAGGUCAGUAUUUAUGGCAUUAAAACUUCUUGGGUGAGUAGCUAAUGAAGUCUUUUCCUGAAAGUAAAAUAUGCAAGAAAAAUAUUUGGAUGGUUGUGGAUCAGGAAAUGUAAUGAAUAACACUAAUCUAGUUUCAAUAUUCCUUUUAGCUUUUAUUGGAACUGAGAAUGUGAGGACUAGAAUAAAAGGAAAACAUAAUUGAUAAGUGUUGCGAGGCGUGACUGCACAACAUUGAAGGAGGAUCCAAAUCAUACCUUUUGAGCCUCAGUGAAGACAUGAAGGGAUAAUUAGCCAACUAAGGGAAGAAUAAAUGAAUGACUGAGUAUCAGGGAGGUAGUUUUGAAAAAUGAAGAUCUGAUAGCAAGUAGAUAAAAGGAUGGAGAAGUAGAAGCAGAGAAUAAAGUCUUUUAAAAUAUCCAGGUAAGAUACCAGAUGAAAAAGACAAUAGCAAGAGAUCAUGGGAAUAUCCAAGGAGCACCCACUGCAUGGGAAGAUGUUUCAGAGGUAUAAUUGCCAUGACUUUCUGCCAUGCUCCAUGAAAUGUGAAGGAAAGUAAAAGAAGAAAAGAACCCAGAUAUUGUAGUCUGACUAACUGGAACCUGUUUUAACAUUAAUAAAAGGGGAAAGAUAUGGGGAAGAUAAAACAAAAAAAAAUUUAGUGAUAAAGAGAUUUGGAACAUUAUAUCCCAUAAUAUCUUGGGGACAUAAUAUCUAUCUUUUGUUGAUAUAUCUGGAUGCAGUGUAAAGUAAAUAUUUAGAAGUAGAAAUCUAGAGUCCAAGGCAGAGAAAUCUAAUUGGACAUAAACAAUAAAAGUGAUUAUGGUAUAUUAAAAUGUUAUAUAAUAUUUGAACAUAUUUCAGAAUCUUCUAUAAGACAUUUUAAAAAUAAAUGUUAAGAUAUUUUAACAUACUAUUAUUUUUAAAGUGUCUUAAUAUUCUUCAUCCUUUGGGAUAAAUAACUUUGUAUAAAAUAUAGUAGGAAAAUGAUUAAAAUUGUAUUAUUAUAUUCAGUUUACAGAAGUACAGAUCAGAUAAUAAUUUGAGAAUACUUCUUUGCAGGGGUUCUAAAUGCUGUGCUCUUUGUUCUGAAUUAUUCAAAUAAGUGACAUUAUUUUCAAAGUGAUCAUUUCUCCAUUUUGAAUAAAAGUCUGCUACUAGAGAUUACAGCAUCAUACAUUAUAAACAGAGCAGAAAAAUGAGUUUCUCUAAAUAAUUCUAGUACAUCAUAUUUUCCCUUUAAGUAAAAAAAAACCUGACACUCGCAUUUAGCUAUGUUUGUAAUAAUACAUGGCCAUAAACACAUACAUUUUAUUUCAAUUGUAAUAUUAAAAUACAAACAUUCACAUGGGUCUUUAUGUACUAUAGUUUUUCAUGCUAGCAUGAAAAAUUGUGUUAAUAUUUGUUUAGUUUUAAUGAGGUAGAACAAAGGAUUGUAAAAUACAUCAUAUGCAUUUUAUCUAUUAAUAUCAAAGUGAUUUUUCUUCUAUUGAAAAUCUCACUAAAUUUAGAAUUAUUCUUAAUGCAUAUUUGAAUGUGUACAGAGUAUUUUAUUUUAUUUAUUAUAAUAUUGGAACUUACAUUUCUCCAAACCUUCAUGAGAUAAAUUUUCUUAAAUAUGAAUAUUUCCUAAGAUUAGAAUAAAUAAAAAUAUUUCUGCAAAUAUGAAGGUUGAAGAACAUGGUAUUGCUGAGUUGAUUUUACUAAAUUAUAUUUCUCAAAUUGCUGAUGUGUACUUAGAGAAGGCCUUUAAUGGAAAAAGUGAGACUGUAGUGCACUAGUUAGACUGUAGUGCACUAAGUUUACAGAAAACUGAAAGAUGAGAAAAGGAUAAUAUGGAAUGAAAUAUAUGUGUUCUGUAUAUAAAUAUAUUUUAAACUGGAAGUCAUAGAAAUAAGGGCAAAAUUGGAAAAUUUGGCAUAGUGGAUUAAUUUCAUUUUAAAUUUUCCAUGCUUUAACUUUAAUUUUUGGUGUUUAAUUUUUUAUUUAUGUUUCAAUGAAAAUGCAGUGUUCAAUUUCAUUUGCAACAUCUUCUUAAUACUAUUGCAUUUUCUGGCACAUUUUGAUUAAAAUGGCAGAGAGAGAAGCACUUGGUGUUCAUUUCCAUGUAUAUGUAUUUGUCAGUCAUGUUGUGUAGCUACAUCUAUUGCCUAGGGAUUGCUUUCAUCAUCUGGAAGCCUGUUUAACAAAAAAUUUACCAAAACUCAUAGCUACACAAAGAUGACACAUAAGAUUGUUGCUUCAAGAGAAAGUCAUUUUAUGUGUAGCUGAUUCUAGUAGGCUUUAGAGCAAAGGUUUUUCUUCACUACACAGUUUUGGUUUCUUUUCUCUUCCCUAUUAAUUGAUUUAGAAAAGAGAAGCAGAAAGUGACUGAGAAGAGAAAGCAAAGAAAAGGGAGAGAGAACAGGUUUAUAAAUAGAUGGAUGUCUGAGGGAAGCUCAAUUCAAAGGAGCUGGAGUUGACAGUUAUUCUGAGCAAGGUCUUUGGAGUCAGACUGCUCUGGCUUCAUCACAUAUUCUUGCCUCAUUUCUACAUGUCAGGUAACUCCUCAGAUCCUCAUUUUCCUCCUUUGUAAAACAAAGCCACUAUUACUAUCCUAGUUACUAAGCAUUUAUUUAAUACUUGUAAAACAUUUUAGAAAAGUUCCUGGCACAUCUUAAGCGUUGGCUCUAUAUUUAUUAAAUAUAUAAUGAAUGAAGGUUAAAAAGAGAAUUUGGUUUGGGUAGAUUUGGGAAUUAAUAGAAAAUUUUAAAAAUAAAAGGUGUCAACUGAGAGUCUCAAAAGUAUAAGCUGAGGCCAUUGACCUUCUUAAUUUUGGCACAUCCUAUGACCCAGCAGCCAUCUAUAUGUAUACAUGCCAUGGAAACCCUCACAGUUUCCACACAGGUCAUCCUAUAAGUUGAUGAUGACUGAGGGUGAUGAAGGUACUAGUGGCUAGCACUUAAUUACAUUCUUAUUACAUGUUUGAUGAUUUUGUAAGUAAUUUUUCUGCAUGAAUCUUUUUACCCCUCUGGCUAACUAUAUGAGACAGUUUUUUAUAUUCUAAGCUUAGAGUUUCAGAUAAGUUUCUUUGCACAGAUAUACAGCUAUUCUAUCAGGGAUCUGAAAUUCAGGCCAAAAAUAUAAUCCAGACUCUCACUUUUACUGACUAGUCAUAGAAGUCAGAAAUAAGAUAUGUCAAGAUGGCUUUGUUCAGAAACAUUUAAAAAUGUUUCUGAAUGUAAAUCUAUGAAAAAUCAGAAAUUAUUCAGACUCCAAUAAAGAAAUGGUGUGUAUGUGUGUGGUGGUGGUGGUGGGGGCGGGUGGUUCCAGCCUCAAACAGCUCAGUUUGUCUCAAAUAAGACAGAUAAAUUAGCAAAACUGGCCAUUUAGUGAAACAGGUGCUGAUGUAGAAGCACAGAGAAUGGAUUUAAACUCUGUGCUGCAAGUGUAGAGUUCAGAUGAAGACAUAAUAGAGGAAGGAAACCAUAACCAUUGAAUGGUACUAAGGUCAAGAAGUUUGCUAGAGUGACAGGACUGGGUUUCAGAAAGAUGUUCCAAACAAAAGGAAUAAUAUGAAAAGUUUUAGAACAGUUACAUGCAAAUGAUAUCAAAAUAUGAAAGGAUGUGACUAAAGAAACAAGAACAGUUUGUAAAAUUUUCAUAACAAAAAAAAAUAAUUGAUGACACUGCAGUCUUCAAAUUCAUCCUAGAUUAUUAGGGAGAAGGUCCCUGAUCAGAUUUUCAUUCUCCUUUAUUUAUAAGAAAUAAAUAACCAAAAGAGGUGUUAAGGUUAUAACAGAAUAGGUUUUCAAUUUUGAACUUCAGUGUUCACUACUGUGGACAAUAUCAAAUUCAAACAAAUACACAGUUUCUUUCAACUUUGUUUCCCCAUGUGACUACAAGUUUUCUCACUUUUUUUUUCCUAUCUAUUCUGUGCACAGCUGCUGUUUUCUUUGUUUCUGAUGUUUCAACUCACUUAACAUUUCUUUCAUGCUCAAACCUCAGUAUUUCUCACACCUGGAAAAAGGAAUGCAAGUUCUUUCAUAUUUUAAAUUGAUAUGCGUUUGAUUUGGAACCUUUAGCUUAGAUUAAAUGCCUGGAAUUAUAUUCAAGCUUUUUUCCUCCUCAUUUUUUAUAAUCAUGUAAAUAAAUCCUUUAUUGUCCUUGACAAAAUCUCCUUUAAUAAAUACAUUUUAAAUGUAUUGGGGUACUAGUGGAAUGACUGCAGCCUUCCCUUUUAAUUUCAAAACAUAUGACAGCCUCCUAAUAUUGUUUGUACAAAAAAAAUAAAGUUUAUUGAUUUUAAAUUCUUUAGUUGAAAUAUUAUAGACAUCCUAAUGUUAAAAAAAAAUCAUUGUGUUUGGGUAAUUAGGAAGAAAAUAUGUUUUGUAACACUCUAACAAAUCUCAAAGAAAAGAUGACCCAGCAUAUAAAACAAAUUCAGUGGGAAAAAUAGAACUGCAGAUCAUCCAUCACUUGGGUAUUGUGACCUCUGCUGAAUCUACUAGCAAAUUCUGUGUUAUUGAAUCACAAUGACAGAGCCAAAUACAAAUGUCAUGACUUUGUUGUGUUCCCUAGGUCUUGCCAUAUCACCAUCACCAUUUUAUAUUCCCUUCCUGGGGACACUUUGGAAGAUUUAGAGGCUUUCAGCCUAAUCUAACUGGCUCCACACAAACAGCUGGUGCUUUGCCAAGAGCCCAGCCUGAUUAUGUCAACAAGGCGGCCUCCUCCACAAGGGAGCUCCAUCCGGGUGUGCGGAGUUUUGGGAACCUCCAUGAAUUAGCUUUAUAUGCUCCAAGAGGCAAUUUCCUACAAAAACAAACUUCAAAAGCUGCCAGAGGAAAUUGUUUCCCAUUGGAAACAGGCCUAACUGGCAAUUGUCUUUAGUGACUGUGUCAGUAUGGUAGGCAGUCUUCAGGGCAUACCAUACCUGGCCCUGACAUUCAGUUUCUCCACAGAACCACACCCAGUUCACAUUUCUGCAAUGAUUAUGGAGCACUUGUUCUGCACCCAAUUAUUUAAGCCAUUAUUUUUAAGUUUAAAAGUUAGCUAACUAUACACAUAUUUUCUGACCUCAACUUGCAGAGGGUUGCUGCUAUAAUUUAAAAGAAGGCAUUCUAUUAAACAUAGAAUACAAGUUAAGAAGAGAAGCACAAAGCUCUCUGCAGUUCAUUAGCCUUUUGCUGAAGUGUUAAAUGGAACAGCAGGAAGCUUCACUUACAGAUGUAUUUAAAUAUUAGUGGCAUUUAAGUAAGGGUUAUACAUUUUGACUAACUCUUCAUAGAGUGUUCUAGUUCAAAGGCCACCAGGAAGGUUAACCCUUAGAUUUCCAAUGUGCAAUGAGUUGGCAUCUUACAGACAACAGCAAAACAGUAUAUGCUAGUUUUUGUAGCUCCAAUAAAGAAAACAUCACAAGAUUUGAAAAGAUUCCAGUGUUCUCAACUUUUAUAAAAUUUAGAAAUUGUGCUUUGGAGUAUGUUUUUAUCACACAUACACAUCUAAAAUUUCAUAAACAUUUUGAAACAUCAUUAGGCAUAUAGAAAUUAUAUUCAGGACAACAAAUUGGCAAAUAAAUGUUGUAGGAACACAAAAACAUAAAUACUAUGUGUACAUGAAAUAGCCACAUUAUUGCCAAGGAAUGGAUUUUUACAACUUUUUCACUCUGUGAAAGCUAUUCUUUGCUUCCAGAGGGACCGAUAUUUUGGUAGCAAGUUGAUUGACCUUAAAUAUUUUUCAGCUUGUCAUCAGCUUUUCUAAUAGCACAAGUCACCGACAAGUCAUUUCUACCAUUGAUCAUCUGUUCUCCAUAUCUUUCUACACAGCACAAAGAAUUUGUUGAAAUCACAAAUUAAUAAAAAUGGCUUCCUUUCCCUAUUUGUACUUUGAAUCUCUUUUAAUCUCAUAAAAAUCUGACUAUGGAAACAUUAUUUGAUGCUUACUUUGCUCACACAAAUGUAACUUCUUUUUUAUAUGACAUUAAGUUAACUACAUACUAUAGAUAGAAAUAGGAAUGUAAAAGUCACUAUUCAAUCAUCUGUUCAAAAUUAAUUUUGCGUACGCAAGUUAAAAUAACCUUGUAGACAUUGUGAGGAAUAUGAAGAUAAGAAAAAAGCAACCACCCUCCAUUCUAUACUCCCUCAAUAAGAAAGACAGGAAAAGAAUGCAACAUGAUGUUGACCAAGAGAGGACCACUAGAGGAGGAUAGGAUUAUGAUGAUCCUGUACUGUGGGGUGGAGAGAGCAUCAGGCAAGAGGCUAUGGAGAACCUAGAAUUUCACCUAUAGAAAUAUGACUUAAAUAUGGAGACAGAUUAAAACUAUAAGAACUGGGCUCCAGGGAUAAAUUUCAUUUCAGUUUGUCAAAAGGAAGGAAGAAAGGAAGUAAGUUGGGGCAUAGUGCUCUGAGAAAUCAGUAAAGACAUUACAAUAGCUGUUUAGAGCAGCAUAGCUCUCCUUAAGUUUAUUUGCUUGGCAUUAAUGUGAAUGAUUGCUGGGAAGGGGAAGGACCCACUGGCUGGAAGUGGACAAAGUAGCAUUUUUGAUUUAAAAUCGGAAUAACAAGAACGAAAAAAAAGGAAGACCCAGUUGCAAAAAGACACAACAACAGAUUGUUUGAUGAUGUGAAGAAGCAGGACAUUAAGAUGUGGAGCCAGAGUAAUUUGGGAUGUGUUAGUUCCAUCAAGGGUACAGGGAGCACAGAAAAAAUACAGGUGACACUUGAAAUAAGUUCAGGGCUGUGCAUGAUUAGCACUGGUAUGAUAUCUUAAUGUCCUAAGCUCUUAGGAGAAUGAUCAGAGCCAGAGAAACAAUCUGAUUUGA